GACGAACCGUGCGAACGUUGUUCGGAAUCACUGGGCUUAAAGGGCGCGUAGGCGGGCUGCCAAGUCCGUGGUGAAAUCCCCCGGCUCAACCGGGGAAUGGCCUCGGAUACUGGCGGCCUCGAGGGAGGUAGGGGCGUGCGGAACUGUAGGUGGAGCGGUGAAAUGCGUUGAUAUCUACAGGAACUCCGGUGGCGAAGGCGGCACGCUGGACCUCUUCUGACGCUGAGGCGCGAAAGCCAGGGGAGCGAACGGG
rnacentral:rRNA from 1 species